UACGGGGGGAGCAAGCGUUGUUCGGAUUUACUGGGCGUAAAGGGCGGGUAGGCGGCCACCGCAAGUCGACUGUGUAAUCUCCGGGCUUAACCCGGAAAGGUCAGCCGAUACUGCGGGGCUAGAGUGCAGAAGGGGCAACUGGAAUUCUCGGUGUAGCGGUGAAAUGCGUAGAUAUCGAGAGGAACACCUGCGGCGAAGGCGGGUUGCUGGGCUGACACUGACGCUGAACUGCGAAAGCUAGGGGAGCGAACGGG
rnacentral:rRNA from 1 species